rnacentral:lncRNA from 1 species
AUGGUAACACUUGAAGAUUAUAUUUCUUUCUGGAUGCAUAAAUCUCUGCAAAUAGCAAUGACAGAAGGAACAACAACAACAAAAGAACAUUAUUCCCUGGACUUCACAAUCUGUGAUGUUUGUGUAGCAAUUGCCGAAGGAGACAAUGGAAGGAGGAGAGAUUUUCUUCUCAAACUCUGAGUGAUUUGAAAUAUAAUCCGUAAUUUCAGGAUGGCAACACAAAAAAUUCUAUAUUUAUUCUAAUAUAGAAUAUUCUAUAGUAAGUGUGUGAAUGCAUGUGUAUAUACAUCAGGAAUAGUGCUGCAUUGCAAUUCAGGAAUCCCUUUUUAUUUUUCUAAUUUUUUAAAGUUAUUGGUUGACUGAUUGAAGUACAGUUGAUUUACAAUGUUUCAGGUAUAAAGUGAUUCCGUUUUAUACAUACAUUUUUUCAUUUCAGAUUUUUCCAUUAUAGGUGAUUACAAGAUAAGGAAUAUAGUUCCCUGUGCUAUUAAGUAGGUCCUUGUUUGUUUUACAUAUAGUACUGCGUAUCUGUUAAUCCCAUAUUCCAAAUUUAUCCCUCUUCACCUCUUCCCCCUUUGGUAACCAUAGCUUUGAAAAGGCAAAUCUGUCUUUCUGUCUGCAAACCUAUUUCUGUUUUGUAAAUAAGUUCAUUUAUAUCAUCUUUUUAGAUUCCACAUAUGUGAUAUUAUAUGAUAUUUGUCUUUUUGUAACUUCACUUAGUGUGAUAAUCUCUAGGUGCAUCCAUGUUGCUGCAAAUGGUAUCACUGCAUUCUUUUUUUGGCUGAGUAAUAUUCCAUUGUGUGUUGUGUGUGUGUGCGCGCACUGAUACACAUUAAAAACUGCAUAUUUGAUAUUUACAAUUUGAUGUUUGGCAUGUGUACGUCAUUAGCUUGACAUGUGCACAUCAACCUAUGGUAUCAUAACCACAAUCAAGGGAAUAAACAUAUAUGUCAUCUCCAAAAGUUUCUUUGUGCCCCUUUCUUUGCAAAUAUCUUUAAGAUGAGAUCUAUCCUCCUAAAAAAUUCUUAGGUACACAGCACUGUAUUGUUAACUAUAGGCCCUAUGUCAGGAUUUCCUAUUUUUAACUAUUCAAAUCAUGAUUAAUCUAGAUCAUAUCAUUUUCAGAGUGACUCAACAGUGAUCCUAAAAGCUAUGGUAAAAAAUAAAUAAAUAUAUAUAUAUAUAUACUUGAUUUAAAGUGCAAUUCUUAAAAACAAAGCAAUCUGCAUUCACUAAAAUUCAUAAAAAGUAAAGAAACAAAUCAUUAAUCAUCUCUUAUUUUUUAUGGGUUUGGGUGGGUUAACUAUUUUCUUCAGAAGAAGAGAUAUAUUAGAAGAAAUCAUUGAUUGCUAUGUCUUUUCUACUUGUUAGCAUUAUGAUUAUACCCACUGUAAAUUACUAGAGGUCUAUUUUGAAACAAAGUCACACCCAUAAAUCUACUGCUAUAUCAGUAUUUAGAAA